rnacentral:snRNA from 1 species
AGCUUUGUGGAGUGGCUAUGUAUCAUAGCCAAGGAGGUUUAUCCGAGGCACGAUCAUUGCUAAUUAAACAUCUUACUUUCCUAAAGUGGUAUAAGCCUCAUACGAUCUGGAGAGGUAAGUACUGCAUAUUAUCAUUAAU